rnacentral:tRNA from 1 species
AAAGAAUUAGUUUAAAAUAAAACAUUAAUUUGUCAAAUUAAAAAUAUAAUUUAUUCUUUU